rnacentral:lncRNA from 10 species
CUCUGGUUAGAGAACAUCUAGCUAGUGAAAGUAAUUAUUUGCCAGAUAAUUGCUUGCGGUAUGUGUGGGGAAAAUAACAUACACAUCUGGGAAAGAAAACCUACACACCUGGUAUCAGAAGUAUUGUGCUAUGACUGAUAGAUUAACAAAAAAUAUACUUUUUUCUACAUCUAUCUCUAGAACUAUGUAAGUUAUUCACAUCUCCUUGCAGUCCACAGCCCAGUUAGGGACUGUCCUCAUGAUAACUUCACUGAAGGAACAAUCUUCUGUGGAUGACAAUGAAAUAAGAAAUGACAGCCAGGCAAGGUGGCUCACGCCUGUAAUCCCAGCACUUUGGGAGGCUGAGGAAGGUGGAUCAUGAGAUCAGGAGUUGGAGACCAGCCUGACCAACAUGAUGAAACCCUGUCUCUACUAAAAAUACAAAAAAUUAGCUGGAUGUGGUGGCACACGCCUGUAAUCCCAGCUACUGAGGAGGCUGAGGCAGGAGAAUCGCUUGAACCCGGGAGGCAGAGGUUGCAGUGAGCCGAGAUUGCGCCACUGCACUCCAGCCUGGGUGACAGAAUCAGGCUCCAUCUCAAAAAAAAAAAAAAAAAAAGAAAAAAGAAAAAAAAAAAAUGACUACCCUAUAAAGCAACAGCUCUAGUUACUGUAUGCCAAAGCAGAAUCUCCUCAUAAUAGAAGGGUCUGAAAUUAACCAAGGACUCACAAUUUUUAUCUAUUUAAAUGUACAUUUUUGAAUUGACUUCUAUGUGUUCUGGCAUCUGGAAUCUUAAGAAAGUCUUCUGUGCUCGCUUCGAUAGCACAUAUACUAAAAUUGGAACAAUACUGGGAAGGUGAGUAUGGUCUCUUUAAAAAAAGAACAAAAAAUCUUCUUGGUUAGGUGUAAGAAAGUUUCCUAAGCAAGUAAAGAAGAUUUUUUUUUUCUUUUUUACUAAAGCAGUCCCAAAGAAGUUCCAUGUAUUUUAUAAGGUUCAGUAUUGACCUUAAAACUUUUGUUACUGGAAAUUUAGUCAUAGACCCAAAUAUCUUCUUCAGAAAAACCAAGUGACUCCACUCCUAGCUUCUGACCAUAGUUCACACUAGAGUACCCAAUGCUAUGACAAAGCUCCAAAAGAUAAGGUUGACUAAGUUUUCUCUCAGGAUUUUGACCUAAAAAUACAGUGGAACGACUAGCUGUAGAGAUUGAAACUAACAAGAAAGGUGGGGUGAGUAGCUUUACAGUCACGAGAUGGCAUGAUAAGUCAAAGUCAUGAGGACUUAAUAACCAUGAGGAAGUAAGAUGAAUCUAUGAGAUCAUGCAGUAAGGGAGCAAUAGGCCAUUGAGUCCAGCCAGACCUUUGCUGGCCACAUUUUUAGCCAUGAUAAGGACACAGGUGAAUGGGACACUUCUUUUCAAAACUGACCCUACUGAUAGGUGAUAAAUUAUGUAGUUCAUUUACUUACACACUGCAUCGUUUUUCUAAUUCUUAUUAAGAUGGUACUGAUGAGAAGAAAAGUGUGUACAACAAAAGAAAAAUAAAAUGACUGAAAAAUGAAACAAUAUGCACUUUCUGUGGGGCUAGGGAACAGACGCAGUCAGAAGGGCUAAGUUACAUUCUUGAUGAACCCUGAAGUGAAGGUCUUCAAUUUCUUUUGACAGUGCUCCUGGAAUUACAUUGGUUCAUUCCUGUGAUGGUUAAUUUUAUGUGUCAACUUGGCUUGAUGACAGUGCCAAGAUAUUUAGUCAAACAUUAUUCUGGAUGUUUCUGUUGAGGGUGUUUUUUAGAUGAGAUUUUCAUUUAAAUCCCUGGAUUUUGAGUUAAGCAGGUAACCCUUCAUAAUAUGGGUCAGCCUCAUCUAAUCAGUUGAAGGCUUGCAUAUAACAAUAGACUACUUCCCCAAGCAAAAGGAAAUUCUACAGAAGCUGCCCUGUGGACUCUAACUCCAGCUUGCCAGCCUACCCCAUCAGGUUUUGGAAUCGCUAAGCCUCCAAAAUCACAUGAGCCAAUUUAUUAAAAUAAAUCUUACAUACUUACACACAUGUAAACACACACAUAUCCUAUUUGUUUUGUUCUCUGGAAAAUCCUAACACACAUUUUGGUACUGAGGAUGAAGGGCAGAAUCACAUUCUUGAUGAGCCCUGAAGUGAAGAUCCUUAAUUUCUUUUGACAAUGUUCCUAGAAUUACAUGAAUUCAUUCAUUUUCCCAAACUACAUCCAAUCCUCGAUGACAAUUGGCUGUAACAGCUUCCUAGUUUCUAAUUAUAGUUGUUUUCUUUAUUUGCUCACAUACACAUUCAAUAACUUUUUCUUACUAACCUCCAUCAUCUUACUCAAGUUAGAUGUAACUUCGUUCCCC